AUUGAACGCUGGCGGCAUGCCUUACACAUGCAAGUCGAACGGCAGCGGGGACUUCGGUCCGCCGGCGAGUGGCGAACGGGUGAGUAACGUAUCGGAACGUACCUUUCAGUGGGGGAUAACGUAGCGAAAGUUACGCUAAUACCGCAUAUUCUGCGAGCAGGAAAGCAGGGGAUCGCAAGACCUUGCGCUGAUUGAGCGGCCGAUAUCAGGUUAGCUAGUUGGUGAGGUAAAGGCUCACCAAGGCGACGAUCCGUAGCGGGUCUGAGAGGAUGAUCCGCCACACUGGAACUGAGACACGGUCCAGACUCCUACGGGAGGCAGCAGUGGGGAAUUUUGGACAAUGGGGGCAACCCUGAUCCAGCCAUGCCGCGUGAGUGAAGAAGGCCUUCGGGUUGUAAAGCUCUUUCGGCCGGGAAGAAAUCGUAUGGGUUAAUACCCUGUGCGGAUGACGGUACCGGCAUAAGAAGCACCGGCUAACUACGUGCCAGCCGCCGCAGUAACAC
rnacentral:rRNA from 1 species